UACGGAGGAUGCAAGCGUUAUCCGGAUUUAUUGGGUUUAAAGGGUGCGCAGGUUGUUUGAUAAGUCAGUGGUGAAAGUCUGUCGCUUAACGGUAGGAUUGCCAUUGAUACUGUUGGACUUGAAUAUGGAUGAGGUAGGCGGAAUGUGUAGUGUAGCGGUGAAAUGCAUAGAUAUUACACAGAACACCGAUUGCGAAGGCAGCUUACUAAUCCAUCAUUGACGAUGAGGCACGAAAGCGUAGGGAUCAAACAGGA
rnacentral:rRNA from 1 species